rnacentral:rRNA from 1 species
GACGAACGCUGGCGGCGUGCUUAACACAUUCAAGUCGAACGGAAAGGCCCUUCUUUUGUGGGGUGCUCGAGUGGCGAACGGGUGAGUAACACGUGAGUAACCUGCCCUUUACUUUGGGAUAACUUCAGGAAACUUGGGCUAAUACCGGAUAGGAGCUCCUGCUGCAUGGUGGGGGUUGGAAAGUUUCGGCGGUUGGGGAUGGACUCGCGGCUUAUCAGCUUGUUGGUGGGGUAGUGGCUUACCAAGGCUUUGACGGGUAGCCGGCCUGAGAGGGUGACCGGCCACAUUGGGACUGAGAUACGGCCCAGACUCCUACGGGAGGCAGCAGUGGGGAAUAUUGCACAAUGGGCGGAAGCCUGAUGCAGCAACGCCGCGUGCGGGAUGACGGCCUUCGGGUUGUAAACCGCUUUCGCCUGUGACGAAGCGUGAGUGACGGUAAUGGGUAAAGAAGCACCGGCUAACUACGUG